rnacentral:tRNA from 1 species
GUAGCACAGCUCCAGCGCGGCGCAUGAAACAGGCCUGCAAAAACAAUGCAUUAUAACCAUAGUCUUCCAAUUCCGUUUCCAAAGGUCACAGGUUCGAAUCCUGUCGGGUGCGCCA